UACGUAGGGAGCAAGCGUUGUCCGGAUUUAUUGGGCGUAAAGAGCUCGUAGGCGGUUUAGAAAAGUCAGGUGUGAAAACUCUGGGCUCAACCCAGAGACGCCAUUGAUACUUCUAUGACUUGAGUUCGGUAGGGGACCAUGGAAAUUCCUGGUGUAGCGGUGAAAUGCGCAGAUAUCGGGAGGAACACCGGUGGCGAAGGCGGUUCUACUGGGCCUUACCUGACGCUGAGGAGACGAAAGCGUGGGGAGCGAAACAGGAUUG
rnacentral:rRNA from 1 species